AUGGUUGGUGGUUGUCUCUCCUUCAAGCGCGUCCACGCCCGGCUCCUGGAGUUGUGGCGCCGUUCAGUUUGUCAUAUGCUACAGAAGGCUCGGACAGCCAGAUAUAGCACGGAUAGUCCUGUUCUUGCGCGCGGCGGUGCGAGCUGCACAGUUUGGCCUGGAUCCUGCCCAGUCCUGCGCGCGGUGGUGUUGACCGGCUAUGUUUGGCUCUCCCUCGACCUUUCCUAUGCGCUGCGGUGUGGAGGAUCGCCCAGUUCUGCGCAUGGAGGUAGAGAAUGGCCAGGUACGGCUUGGAUCGCCCAGGGCCUGCGAGCGGCGGUGCAGACCGGUCGAGUUGGUGUGUGCUCACAGAGUUCCUGCGUGCGGCUUGACCAAUUCGUUUCUAGUAGUGUUGGUUUGGGCUCAUGUUGCAUUGUGGCGCUGGUGGCCUCGGAUCCUUGGAUUGUUGGUGGAAGACUCGGCUCCAGAUGA
rnacentral:rRNA from 1 species